UACGGGGGGGGCAAGCGUUGUUCGGAAUUACUGGGCGUAAAGGGCGCGUAGGUGGCCAACUAAGUCAGACGUGAAAUCCCUCGGCUUAACCGGGGAACUGCGUCUGAUACUGGAUGGCUUGAGUUCGGGAGAGGGAUGCGGAAUUCCAGGUGUAGCGGUGAAAUGCGUAGAUAUCUGGAGGAACACCGGUGGCGAAGGCGGCAUCCUGGACCGACACUGACGCUGAGGAGCGAAAGCCAGGGGAGCAAACGGG
rnacentral:rRNA from 1 species